CUUGGCCCACUCUCACUCUGUGGAGUGUACAUUUGUUUCCAUAAAUCUGUGCUUUUUUUUUCAUUGUUUUGUUUGUGCAUUUCAUCCAAUUGUUUGUUCAAAAUGCCAAGAAUCUGGACACCCUCCACCAGUAACAGGCAUUGGGAAGGGGAAGGCAGAAAAGCGGAGUGCAAAAUGAAGUGGUAGUGGGUGCUAACUAACAAGAGAACCUUUGAACACGAUGGGACAGAAAUAAGGUCAUGCAUUUUCUACUAUCUGUCACCUGUGGACAACUUGCCACUUCAACAGUUCUGGACACUUUUAAGCUCCCCCGAGGAGAAGAUAGGAAACUUGGACACCCUGUGUGGGAUUGAGAAUCACAAAGGGGCAGUCUCGCACCUGGUCAAGAUAAAGCUGAACUGAACUCUUCAUUCACAAGUGGGAUUCUCGUAAGAGGCAGGAAAGCAGGGACCGUCUGUCACUACAGACAGCAAGAAGAGGUGAACCUUAAUGAGGGAAGAAAACAGAUUCUAUUAGGGGAAAAAAACAUUUAAUCAGAAAAUAAGGCUCUGGAAAGAAAAGGCCAAUUGGGGCUUUGUCUGAAGAAAUAACAGAGUAUUUUUCUGCCAGAGAAAGCAAGUCCAAGGGAGGAAUUUUCAGAUUGACCAAAGAGUAUUGGUCUACAUCAUUAGUACUUUCAGUGAGAAAUAACUGAAAAUAAACUAGAGCAAAAGUUCCCCAGGUGUGGUUCCAGGACCAGCAACUGAAACAUCACCUGGGAACUGUUAAAAAUGCAAAUUCUUGGGCUCUCCGCCAGAAUCACUGAAUCAGAAACUCUGAAAUGGGACCCAAUAAUCAGCAGCUUAACAAGCUCUCCAGGUGAUUCUUAUGCCAAAUAAAGUUUGAAAUUCCCUGGUGCUGGCGCUGGAAGCAAAUGAGUCACAGCUGUGAAGAAUCCCUACCAUUAAUACCCUGGGUGGGAUAAAUAAAAAUGGGAAACUAAAAAGUUAAAUGAUCAGAGGUUGGCUGUAGUUCAAAAG
rnacentral:lncRNA from 1 species